rnacentral:rRNA from 1 species
GAAAAUUGAAACAUAGGCAUGUGGGUAAUGGUUGGAAAGGUCUUGACAUGAGGAACAAAUGUUAUGUUGACCAAAACUCAUUUUGAGUGUGGAAAUUUAUGAAAACAGGCCAUGAAGUUCAUAGUGCAAUACAUGCCUUUGAGAAUUUUGCCAAAUUGGACCAACUUCAAGCCCCUUUGUUUUGAUGAUGAAAGCCCCAAAUGGAGACCCCUCCAACAUAAAAGUUGUAUAUCUUCUCAAUGUGAUCAAAAUGGACUUAAAUUUUGCAUUAUUUGGAUUUUUUAUUAAGGAGUUAUGGGCACUUGAAGUUGGACUUUUUUGCCUUUCAAUGCAUUUGGUCCAAAGUGACCUAUAAUGUUUUGCAUUAUCACAUGUGUUUUCUUUGAGAUUUUGAAAUUUUGUUCAACAUAACAUUUGAAGUAGACAUAUUAAGCUUUCCAAUGAAUUUAAUCCCACCUCAAAAUCAUAAAAAAUAAAUGAGUUAUGUUCUUGUGAAGUUGACCCAAAAUUAGGGUUUCAAUCAAAAUGACCUAUAAUGUCUUGGAAUGGAUAAUGACCUUCCAAGCUUCAAAUCAAUUUUUGAUGAACAUGAAAGUUGUUAAUAUUGUCCUUAGGAAUAUUGUUUCUUUUGGGAUCAUCUCCAUUUGACUAACACAUAAAAAUUUAGGUCUCAGUGUAUUUCAAAAUAGUCAAAUGAAUUGACUGAUCAACUUCUCAAGUCCACAACUCAUAUCUUGAUGAAUUUAUGAUUGAGGACUCUCAAAUAAGUUCAAAUAUGCAUGAAAUGAUGAAUUAAAGGCCUUCCCUUGAUUGUGUUUGAUCAUGGGCUGAGGUUGCUUCAUGAGCAAGGCAUACUUGGUACACAGAUGAAUUAGGGUUUCCUUGAGAACACAAUCCUCAAACCCUUUGACUUGCUUUGAUCAAAAUGAUGAAUUGAGAUACUUGGGAGACAUAUAUGAUGGAUAAGAGCUUUGGGAACCAUUACCAUGCUUGCUUUCAUCUUCUCUUGUCCAUGGCUUUGCACCAAGGAUCUCCUUGAAGCUCUUGACCUUGUGAUUACUCAAGCUAUAAACAAAAAAUGUUAGUGACAUAUUUUUGUGUUUUUGGUUAGUAAACAAAAAUGAGAAAAGCAAUAAUAUACAAUUCAAGCAUGCCUGGUGAUCUCAAACCACUCACAAGAAGUCCUACCCAAAGGCAAAGAGAACCAAGAUGCUCAAUGAUCCUUGAGGCUUUGCAAAUGCAAUGUUAUGAUGCCAUGAGGGAUCUUAGGGCCAAAAUUGGGGUCUUACAGGUCCAUGCGGAUGUUGACGCAACAUGAUUUCUGCCCAGUGCUCUGAAUGUCAAAGUGAAGAAAUUCAACCAAGCGCGGGUAAACAGCGGGAGUAACUAUGACUCUCUUAAGGUAGCCAAAUGCCUCGUCAUCUAAUUAGUGACGCACAUGAAUGGAUUAACGAGAUUCCCAUUGUCCCUGUCUACUAUCCAGCGAAACCACAACCAAAGGAACGGGCUUGGCGGAAUCAGUGGGGAAAAAAGACCCUGUUGAGCUUGACUCUAGUCCGACUUUGUGAAAUGACUUGAGAGGUGUAUGAUAAGUGGGAGUUGGAAACAAUGAAAGUGAAAUACCACUACUUUUAACGUUAUUUUACUUAUUUCGUUAAUCGGAGGUGGGGCGCUGCCCCUCUUUUUGGAUCCAAGGCUGACUUUGGUUGGUCGAUCCGGGCGAAAGACAUUGUCAGGUGGGGAGUUUGGCUAGGGAGGCACAUCUGUUAAAAGAUAACGCAGGUGUCCUAAGAUGAGCUCAACGAGAACAAAAAUCUCGUGUGGAACAAAAGGGUAAAAGCUCGUUUGAUUCUGAUUUCCAGUACGAAGACGAACCGUGAAAGCGUGGCCUAUCGAUCCUUUAGACCUUCGGAAUUUGAAGCUAGAGGUGUCAAAAAAGUUACCACAAGGAUAACUGGCUUGUGGAAGCCAAGCGUUUAUAGCGACGUUACUUUUUGAUCCUUCGAUGUCGGCUCUUCCUAUCAUUGUGAAGCAGAAUUCACCAACUGUUGGAUUGUUCAUCCACCAAUAGGGAACGUGAGCUGGGUUUAGACCGUCGUGAGACAAGUUAGUUUUACCCUACUGAUGACAGUGUCGCAAUAGUAAUUCAACAUAUUAUGAGAGGAACCGUUGAUUCGCACAAUUGGUCAUCGCGCUUGGUUGAAAAUCCAGUGGCGCGAAGCUACCGUGUGUUGGAUUAUGACUGAACGCCUCUAAGUCAGAAUUCGGGCUAGAAGCGAUGUGUGCGCCCGAUGUUCACUUGCCGACCAGCAGUAGGGGGCCUUGGCCCCCUAGAGGCACGUGUCGUUGGUGUACCCUGUAAGAUGGAUGAGCCUUAUUGGACACUAUGAAACGCAAUUCCUAUUGAGC